CAAGAGCGUAUGUAAAAGUUGUUGCAGUUAAAAAGCUCGUAGUUGAACCUUGGGUUUGGUUGGCCGGUCCGCUUUUUUGCGAGUACUGGAUUCAACCGAGCCUCUCCUUCUGGCUAACCAGUCGUUUCGGCGGCUGGCGAACCAGGAUUUUUACUUUGAGAAAAUUAGAGUGUUCAAAGCAGGCAUUAGCUUGAAUAUAUUAGCAUGGAAUAAUAGAAUAGGACGUUAUGGUUCUAUUUUGUUGGUUUCUAGGACCAUCGUAAUGAUUAAUAGGGACGGUCGGGGGCAUCAGUAUUCAGUUGUCAGAGGUGAAAUUCUUGGAUUUACUGAAGACUAACUACUGCGAAAGCAUUUGCCAAGGACGUUUUCAUUAA
rnacentral:rRNA from 1 species